rnacentral:rRNA from 1 species
GCCUAGCCCUAAAUCUAGAUACUUACCCCACCAAAGUAUCCGCCCGAGAACUACGAGCACAAACGCUUAAAACUCUAAGGACUUGGCGGUGCCCCAAACCCACCUAGAGGAGCCUGUUCUAUAAUCGAUAACCCACGAUAGACCCAACCUCCCCUUGCCAAAACAGCCUACAUACCGCCGUCGUCAGCUCACCUCACCUGAGAGCACAACAGUGAGCACAACAGCCCCCCGCUAGCAAGACAGGUCAAGGUAUAGCUCAUGGGGUGGAAGAAAUGGGCUACAUUUUCUACUAAUAGAAAACUACGGAAAGGAGUCUGCAAGUGACCCCUGGAAGGCGGAUUUAGCAGUAAAGAAGGACAAUAAAGCCCUCUUUAAACAGGCCCUGGGGCACGU